GGCGUUAAUUUGUAGUGGAAUUGAACUAGAAUUCAGGAAAAUGUCUCAAAUCAUGGACAGCCUGGAUGACUGGCUAGAAUAUCGAUGUAAAGCAGGACAAAUCCUCUUUUUUUAUAAUAAAAUAACAGCAGAGCAUCGAUAUCCAGAGUGGAAUCCUACAUUAAAGAAAUGGGGCCUAGGACAAGCCGUUGAAUGUGACAUUGUCAACAACAGGAAGAACAUAAUGACACAGACUGAUGACACUGGCUGCACCUAUGGAUGUAC